CCCCAUCUAAUUCGUCCCUCUUACAGUUGUUCUCUCUCUCUCUCUUUAGUCCUCUCGUUGGUGUUCACUUUGUUUAUAUUAAUGGUCCAAUAGGCAUUUUUAGUGAAACAAAAAGACAUGUUCUGAAGAGUGACUGAGAGUUAUUUACAUCCAUCACGACGUAACGACGUCUCCACAACCUCGCAAUUCUUUCCCCCUUGUCUCUGCAACCCCUUCUUAAAUCAUAGUCAUUCUACUUACUUUCCUUCGCUUUUUAUUUUCUUCAAUUCAAUUACACCAUCUUCCUUCUACCCUCGUUCUCUCUUUCCGUCCGAUUUUCUUCUUCUUCUUCUCGUUAUCUUAUUUUCCUUUCCCUCUCCGUUCUUUAUCCUCUUCUACUCUUGUCCUUCUUUGUUCUUUCCUUUGCUCCUCAACUUCGUCCCCAUCGCCGCCACGUCUCUCGCUCUCAUUCUUUAUCCCCUACCGUAUUAUGUCCGUCUGUCUCUCUUUCUUUAAACCGUUCUAUUUUCUACUCUCUUUGUGACCAUUUUCUUUCUCCCUUUCUUUUUUUUUUUUGCAUCUACUUGAUUUCUUCGAAUUUUGUCCUUGUUUGUUCUGAGUCUAUUGUUAUUAUUAUUAUUUUUUUGCCUCCAUACUCUUUCUCCUUUUUAUUCUGUCUUUCACUUUCUCUUCUUACCUCACUUCAUUCGCUCUGUCUGACUAUCUCUCCGAGAGUCACUCAGCCCGCAGUGCUCGUCUUCCUCACCACCACUACCACCAUCAAUAUCAAUACACAGAAAUUUGCUAGCUCUCACCACCACUACUACUACUAUUUCAUCGGCAAACACAGCUUUCCAUCGGUACUAGAGUUGUUAUUGUUAUUUCAUCGAGAAGCCAGCAUUAACGGCCGAUGCGAUACUACUAUAUAGUCACUUAGUAGUUAACAGAUUUGCUAUUGCACCGGCAUAUCAAGUCGGCUGCAGGAAGGCCCUAACUACACGGAGCUAGCUCCACGCGGCUCUUAUAACAAGGAUCAAAGGAGAUUAGUCUGUGUAAUAUAUGAUUAUCGUAGUAAGAAUCGGACAUACUUUGCUGGUUUAGCCUACAUUUUUCAGGUAAGAUACAUAUUUUUAUCUUUUUUUCUUUUGUCAAUCGUAUGCUAGAGCGCACUGUACACCCAAAUGCACACAUACACACAAUUUGGCGCUCACUUUGUCGUAUAUUGCUGGUUGUCUCAUUCAGAGAAAUAAACAUGGUGAAACGUAAAGGGUGGGGGGUGAGAUAAUUUAUACGCGUACACUAAAAUGAAAAGUAAAUUUUUUUGUGGUCUCAAGCUAUAGUAAAGUGUAUUCGGAGCGCAAAAACAUCCUUAUAUAAUGUAGUUAUGUUUAUUUAUUGUUCAUAUGCGAGUUGGCGUCUCUCAUUUUCUUUUAUACAAUUUCCUGACUGUGUACGUGUAACAAAAUAAAUAAAGCAAAGAUAUGUUACUAUGACCGAAGAAAGGGAAAAAAAUUUGACAUUUAUUCUUCGAUUAACAGGGUAGAUCUAACAACAUCACACACACGCACACACACAUUCUUUCUCUCUGCUUUUUCUUUCUCACACACACAUUCUCUGCUUCUCUGCUUUCUCUUUCUCUCUCUCUCUGACACGCACACAUUCCCCCUCUUUCUUUCUCUCUCUCUCUCUCUCUGACGCACACACUCUUGUAAAGAGUAUGUGUUAAAGUUGAGGUAUAUAUAUAUAUAAAUAUAUAUAUACCUUUGUAUUUCCCGAAAUACUCAGGUGAGAAGCGUGUAUUUAAACAAGCACCCACAGAGCUUAGUACACUCAAGAACGUCUGUAUUUUGUGUUGCGCGUACUACUGCGUAUGAUAGGGUACAUACAUCUAUCCUGCCAGGUGAGGGAGUGACACUCUAGGGUACGGACACUGUUACAUCACAGAAUAGCAAGCAGGUUGCUACCUGUGCGGAGCAUGCAUUUAGAUACACAUAGCUUACCUGUUUAAACGAAGCUACUAUAUAGAUUUAUGCGUGUGACAUUAAAAAUUUCAAAUGUGAAUUUUCCUGAACUCGAUUUAAUUAGAAUAUUCAAAAGAGCAUGCACUUACAAGUGUGUGUGUAUUGUAUGUGUGUUUAUAUGGGUUCGAUUUUUCAUUUCCUUUCAUUUUCACUCUCUUAUCCUCUUUAUCACAUUCUUUCCUGUAAAUCUCUCUCUCUCCUUUUCUCUCUCUCUCUCUCUCUCUCUCUCUCUCUCUCUUUCUGUGUCUCUCUCACUGCAUUUAUAAAUGCCAAACAUGCAGAUUCUUCUAGGAACAAGUUUUAUCGUUUAAUUUUAAAAUGUUUGUAGUUUAGGGCAUAAAAACAAGGUAUUAUUUUGUCUGUGAAUUGUUUUUUUUUUAAUUACAUUAUUUGACAAUGUUUUAUGACAAAAAUAGCAUGUUUGCAUCUUGAGAAAGAUAUAGUUUGUUAUGUUUAUUCUUACGGUAUUUAUUUUUCUACAAUGUGUGUUUGUAUAUAUACUAUAUGCAUAGAAAUACACAAACUUACGUGCGUGCACAUCGAACGUGUCGUUUGUGAUAAUAAUACUCUAUCUUCGAAUGCAGCGUACGCGCAUCCACGGAUACGCGCUAAUUUUGUUCGGAUGUUGUGAACGAUGUAUGCAAGUGUCUACACGCACGCACACACACAUAUACACACACACACACACCUAUCUUAUUACAGUAUCUAUCUUUUGUACACACAUACACGCACGUGCGCGCACACACACACACACAUAUACACAUACAUACAUAUAAUCAAUACUUCUUAAAAUGACACAAGUCAAUCGCUGUUCAACGCAAUUCAUAAUUCAUAAAACUCUAAUGGCUUCCCCACAUUUUUUCCCUCAACGGUUGCUCAUUUUAAACUGAAAUUAAUAUAAAACAAGCACAAUGGCAUAGUUCAGUGCUUCCUUUUUUUAGUGGUAGGUACUUCGACUAUCGGAACUUGUUGACCGUAUCCUGUCUUUCAUGUUACCAUUCUUGUUACUUCCCCUACCCCACCCACUAUAUAAUUCAUAAUCGGCUUCUUAUUUUUGUAUAUAUUAAGCACUUAUCUCGACACCUCAAUCCUUAAACCAAGUCCCUCCGAAAUUCUCGCUCUCUCUCUCUCUCUCCAUUUUAUACAUUCCUAACUACUACUAAGUUGCAUGAGGGACUCUCUGCGAUGGUGCUUGAGAUAGCAGCCAAAUCUCCCUCAAAUUAUUUCCUGCUAUCUUGAAAAAAGGAAGGACAAAGGUAUCGGAUAAAUGUAGAUAUAACUAUACAAAAAAGGCAAAAUAAAAAAAAAAACCUAAAUUGUCAGACCUGGAAUAUUUUUCCUCGUAGGUUUCUAAG
rnacentral:lncRNA from 1 species